UGGGGAAUAUUGCACAAUGGGCGCAAGCCUGAUGGAGCCAUGCCGCGUGUAUGAAGAAGGCCUUCGGGUUGUAAAGUACUUUCAGCGGGGAGGAAGGGAGUAAAGUUAAUACCUUUGCUCAUUGACGUUACCCGCAGAAGAAGCACCGGCUAACUCCGUGCCAGCAGCCGCGGUAAUACGGAGGGUGCAAGCGUUAAUCGGAAUUACUGGGCGUAAAGCGCACGCAGGCGGUUUGUUAAGUCAGAUGUGAAAUCCUCGGGCUCAACCUGGGAACUGCAUCUGAUACUGGCAAGCUUGAGUCUCGUAGAGGGGGGUAGAAUUCCAGGUGUAGCGGUGAAAUGCGUAGAGAUCUGGAGGAAUACCGGUGGCGAAGGCGGCCCCCUGGACGAAGACUGACGCUCAGGUGCGAAAGCGUGGGGAGCAAACAGG
rnacentral:rRNA from 1 species